rnacentral:tRNA from 1 species
GCGAAAGUGGCGGAAUUGGUAGACGCCCUGGAUUUAGGUUCCAGUUCCCGAAAGGGAGUGCGGGUUCGAGUCCCGCCUUUCGCACCA